rnacentral:rRNA from 1 species
GUGGGGAAUUUUGGACAAUGGGCGCAAGCCUGAUCCAGCCAUUCCGCGUGCAGGAUGAAGGCCUUCGGGUUGUAAACUGCUUUUGUACGGAACGAAAAGCCUCUGGUUAAUACCCGGGGGUCAUGACGGUACCGUAAGAAUAAGCACCGGCUAACUACGUGCCAGCAGCCGCGGUAGUACGUAGGGUGCGAGCGUUAAUCGGAAUUACUGGGCGUAAAGCGUGCGCAGGCGGUGAUGUAAGACAGUUGUGAAAUCCCCGGGCUCAACCUGGGAACUGCAUCUGUGACUGCAUUGCUGGAGUGCGGCAGAGGGGGAUGGAAUUCCGCGUGUAGCAGUGAAAUGCGUAGAUAUGCGGAGGAACACCGAUGGCGAAGGCAAUCCCCUGGGCCUGCACUGACGCUCAUGCACGAAAGCGUGGGGAGCAAACAGGAUUAGAAACCCGAGUAGUCC